GCUGCCUGUGUCUGUGGUUGAAAAUCCAAGCCAGCUAUGGGCAAAAGGAUCCACGUAAACCGUGAGCAGGAAGCCGCGGCGAGCAUGGCAUAGUUUAGGUGUAAGUCCUCGGGAAAAUCCCGGUCAAGGCAAGUGUGGGGGCAAAGACCAGGUCAGGCAGGCAGC
rnacentral:ncRNA from 1 species